GGAAGGAUCAUUCUUAAUGCUGUGAAAGCAGCGCAAAACACUCAUCGUGUAACCUCGGUUGGGUACUUUGGGUGAUGUUGUAUGUGGUUGGGGUGUGGUUGGGGUGUGGUUGGGUCGUGGAGGGGGCUAGGGCCCUGGCAUCCUUUACGGCUUGACUAUGCUCUGACUAUGCUCUGACUAUGAAUAGCGUCAUCUGAUUAGUGACACGCACGAAAGUGUGUGCCACUGACAGGGUUGCUUCGGCAGCUCUGGUAUCGGACCAGUCUACGAGUACUUCGGUGCUUUUAGGCGAAAAACCAAUCCAAAUCCAAUUUUUAAAUUUACCGAAAGACCACUUUAGGCGGUGGACACCUCGGCUACCACAACGAUGAAGAACGCAGCAAACCGCGAUAUUUAUUGCGAUGUGCAAUCCAUGCGAGUCAUCGAAACUUUGAACGCAAUUACAGCUUUGGGUACUCCCAUAGCUACUCCUCUUUCAGUAUCGAAGCCACAACCAUACUGAAGAGUAGUGCCUGCCGUUAAAAAGCAGACAUUGCUCUGAAGGUCUUGGGAUUCGGUUGAGCAAUCAGCCUGUUUCCUUAAAUACUGUCUGGUGUAUUUUGAGCUCGGAUCGUGUAGCUCUGUAGAUGAUCUCGCAAGGGAAAGUUGACAGGGAAAUGUGGUUUGGGUUUGAGGUGCAUCGGGCUCACAGUCUUUAGAAUGUAUGCAACUUGUGUGUGUGCAGAGGUAAUGGACAAUUUCUCGGUAUUGAUCUGAAAUGAGGUGAGACUACCCCCUGAGCUUAAGCAUAUUCGUAAGGGGAGGAAAAGAAACCAACAGGGAUUCCCUUAGUAAUGGCGAAUGAACCGGGAUGAGCCCAAACCGAAUCCUUCUCGUUCUACGAGUGGGAGUUGUGGUUUAUGGGGGCACGCUCAGCGUGUGGCCUCGAUCUAAGUCCGUUGGAAGACGGCUGUCAGAGAGGGUGAGAACCCCGUCUGUGAUCGAGUGUCCGCCGCGUACGAGCUGUCUUCCAAGAGUCGGGUUGCUUGAGAGUGCAACCUUAAGUCGGUGGUAAACUCCAUCGAAGGCUAAAUACAUGUGGUAGUCCGAUAGCGCACAAGUACCGUAAGGGAAAGGUGAAAAGGACUUUGAAAAGAGAGUCAAAAGAACUCGAAACCGCCUAAAGUCUAAGGGAUGGGAACUGUUGUAUCGGGCGCCACAUUUCCAGACUGGAUGUGGAAGGUUCGUGGUGUGUGUGUUAGUCCCACUUGUGGGGCUGGCUGCACCUGCGGGCCGGAGGCAUCUGGGCUGGCACUUGUGAGCGCGAGUUUGCAAUUGUGGGUUUUGCUUGUGGCAUGGUGCCAGCUGGGAGGUAGAGUGUUGAUUGAGUCUUGGCUCAUGAUCCUUGAUGACCAGUUGGUAACUGCCUCGGGCGGGACCAAGGAACGACAUUUGCAAUAUACGGUUCUCAUUCACCCGUCUUGAAACACGGACCAAGGAGUCAAACGUAUACGCGAGUCCGAGGAAUGGGAUCUCCGAGGGCGAAAUGAAAGUGAAGACAUGUUUCGGCGUGUCUAGGUGUGAAGGGCGCAAGUCUGGCAACAUCUCCCGGUUCAGCCUUUAGUGUUGGAUUCGAGGCCGAGCGUAUACGAUUGGACCCGAAAGACGGUGAACUAUGCCUGGGCAGGGUGAAGCCAGGGGAAACUCUGGUGGAAGCUCGUAGCGAUACUGACGUGCAAAUCGUUCGUCGGACCUGGGUAUAGGGGCGAAAGACUAAUCGAACCGUCUAGUAGCUGGUUCCCCC
rnacentral:misc_RNA from 1 species